CAGCAGGACUGUAGCAAUACAGUUGCUGGCGACCGGCAAACGGGUGCGGAACACGUACGCAAUCUACCCAAAACUGGUGAAUAGCCCUCCGAAAGGAGGAUUAAUACACCGUAACCUAUUGAAGUGGCAUCACUUUAUUAGUAUAGCUCCGGCGGUUUUGGAUGAGCGUGCGGCUGAUUAGAUAGUUGGCGGGGUAACGGCCCACCAAGUCUGCGAUCAGUAACUGGUGUGAGAGCACGACCAGUCACACGGGCACUGAGACACGGGCCCGACUCCUACGGGAGGCAGCAGUAAGGAAUAUUGGUCAAUGGACGCAAGUCUGAACCAGCCAUGCCGCGUGGAGGAUGAAGGCCCUCUGGGUUGUAAACUUCUUUUAUCUGGGACGAAACCCUCAUAUUCUUAUGAGACUGACGGUACCAGAGGAAUAAGCACCGGCUAACUCCGUGCCAGCAGCCGCGGUAAUACGGAGGGUGCAAGCGUUAUCCGGAUUCACUGGGUUUAAAGGGUGCGUAGGAGGGCAGGUAAGUCAGUGGUGAAAUCUCCAAGCUUAACUUGGAAACUGCCGUUGAUACUAUCUGUCUUGAAUAUUGUGGAGGUGAGCGGAAUAUGUCAUGUAGCGGUGAAAUGCUUAGAUAUGACAUAGAACACCAAUUGCGAAGGCAGCUCACUACACAAUCAUUGACUCUGAGGCACGAAAGCGUGGGGAUCAAACAGGAUUAGAUACCCUGGUAGUCCACGCCCUAAACUAUGGAUACUCGACAUACGCGAUAUACAGUGUGUGUCUGAGCGAAAGCAUUAAGUAUCCCACCUGGGAAGUACGACCGCAAGGUUGAAACUC
rnacentral:rRNA from 1 species